rnacentral:lncRNA from 1 species
CAACCUCUCUCACAUGGAGGACACCUGGACAUCUCUUUCUCUCCACCUUGUCUCUGGAUCCCUUUACAUGCUGGCUCAGGAAUCCAGAGUGAGAAUUAAGAGUGCCUACCUCAUCCUCAUGGGGGAGUUGUAAAGACCAAUGAAAAUGAUCUAUAUCUAACUUAUCAAAUGAUCUGGAACUUGAAAAGAAAAGCUGAUGGUUUGCCAAAAGAAAAUGAACUCCAAACUCUUGGGGUCUGAACUGGGUUCAAGCAUCAGAUCCAGGGGAGCCCAGGGGGAUGCUGCUUAGUCAGGGGCCUCAAAUGUUCUCUGCACAAGCCAGGACUGCUGUAACCAAGUACCAUGAAGUGCAUGGCUUAAAACAACAGCAAUGCUUUCUCUCACAGUUCUAGAGGUAGAAGCAUGAAGCCAGCUAUUGACAGGAGCAUGCUCCCACUGAAGAUAGCAAGGAGGGUGUUCAGAAAGAGGAGAGAGAGGAAGCUAAAGAGAAAAGUAAAUGAAACCAGAAUGGCCUUCUCCCCAGGACCUCCAUCCUGAGCCUUGCAGCGAGAGUGAAGAAGCAUCUGAGCUGUCCUCCAGGGACAAGCAAGGAAAAGGAUCCCCCAUUUUGGGGAGAAUCACGUGGCAAAACAGGAAAACCAGACCAGCAGAGAGGAGAGAGACCAGCAAUCAGACCCUCCCAGAGACAAUCAUUGUUAACAU